UUGCUGGCCUGGCUCUGGGCUCUGUUCAUCUAUCAGAGGGCAGACACCACACCCAGGCCCAGCUUUCCCUCUAUUUCUGUCUCAGUCUUGUUUUAUU